rnacentral:lncRNA from 1 species
UGAAAAGCCCUUGUUUUGUCUGCAUGGUGGGUUCAGUUCCAUGCGGGGCCGUGGCUGACCUGGCCUGGACACUGCUGACCACGCUGUCCUGAGCUGCAGCAGCCUUGCUCACUGCUGGCCACCGACUCUACAUCCACACUGGCCUCCCCUGCCAUCCCCCUGAGCUGUUCUCAGACCUUCCCCAUCCCUUAGGCCUCAGCCUGGCUUGGUGCCCACUCAAGGAUGGUGUUUCCCAUGUGACUUCACUGGAUAAGGCUCCACAGAGCACUCACUGUGGGCCAGGCCAAUGCCAGGCCUAGACGGAGCCCUGCCCUGCUUCCAAAUAGCCGUGGACCCCUGGGACAGGAAAAAGCUGCCCCCAGUGCUUUAUCUAAGCAGGCUUCAGGGGGAGGGGGAUCGGGGCCGGAGCAGAGUUCGGAAGGAUGUGGUGCAGUCAGUCUGGAGCAGAGGGGAAAGGCCUUCCUGGUAGAAGAGCCACCAGGCACAGGGGCCUGGAAGUGAGGGACCCCAGGCCUGGUACCUGCGGUGAGGGGUGUGCUGGAAACAGGGUAGGUGCGGGGAUGCUGGGGGCUGUGGACGGGGACGGGAGACUGCUGAACAAAGGGCUUGCAUGUUGUGCUGGCUUGUUUUGUUUUGUUUUUGAGACAAGAUCUCGCUCUGUCACCCAGGAUGGAAAGCAGUGGCUCAAUCACAGCUCACUGCAGCCUCAACCUCCUGGGUUCAAGGGAUCCACCCACCUCAGUCUCCCAAGUACCUGGGACCACAGGCAUGCACCACCAGGCCCGGCUGAUUUUUUAAACUUUUUGUAGAAAUACGGUUGCCUUAUGUUGCCCAGGCUGGUCUUGAACUCCCGAGCUCAAGUGAUCCUCCCGCCUCAGCUUUGUGCUGGGUUUUUGAGCAGAUCCUGCCAUUAAAGGGGAAGCUUCCAGGAACGAGCUCUGACGGGCUACUCCAGGCUCAGAGCUUCUUACGUCUUUCCAACAUUCUUUGCCAUGAAGGAGUCCCACUUAGAAUGAGUGACCCAGAAGAGAAGUGGACCCAGGGCACUCCCUGGACUGGGAAGCUGCCUCCACAGCUUGAGACACAGGCACCAGUGGCUCAGGCCUGAAGACAGAGGCCCAGGUAGGCAUGCCAGCUGAGGCCUGCCCAGGAGGGUGGGUGGGAGACCCACAGAGGGCCAAGGCAAGUCUCCGGUUGGGGGCCUGUCCGGAGAGGGUGUUUGCACCCUGAACACCUCCCUGGAGCAUAGAGGGUUCUACUGGCCAGCCCUGAGAUGGGCUCCCAGGGCUAGAACCCAGGCUAAGGCCUGGUCUCACCUCCCAUGUGGAUAGACCAAAUGAAGACAGAGUGACCAGAUCCCAGCUGGAAACACAGCAGAGGCAGGGGGACAGGGCUGUGGGAACCAGGAGAGCAGCUGGAGGAAGUGUCCAGCCAGGGGAAGGAGCAGAGAAGAGCAAGAGGCAGAGGGAGCUGGUCACCAGAUGGGGAUCUGGGGACACAGGAGAAAGUGGCUUUGUCCUGCAGCGGGCAGGCCAGGCCAGACUGUCCCCAGGGACCAGAGGAGGAGCCAGCAGCCGUGGGGACAGAGAGGCCUCUGUGAGUGGGAAGCGCCCAGCUGGCUGGAGCCUAGGAUCCUCUUGGGGCCCUCCUGGUGGAAGAGAAGGGGGCCGCAGGGUCACCUGUGCUUGUGGCCAGGGAACUAGAGGGGGAAAAGUGGGAUCUUUGGAGGGGGUGCGCCCCCAUCCUUACUCCACGAGGCUACCUGGGGACAGGUUUUGUUGUAGGGUGCCAGGCCCCGCCCCUUGGAGAGGUGGCCGGGGCAGCCAGCCACAGCUGGAUCCGAGAAAGCGCGAAGCCACGGCCGGACGUUUGGCGGGACUGGGGCGGGGCAGAAAGGGAGCUCUGCGAGGCCAGAGUGGAGCCGGAGCUGGGGGAUCCGGUUCCGCCUGCCCAGGGCCUCCGCGCGCCUCCCAGGGCCCCUCGGCAGGAAAAAAAAAAAGAAAAAAAAAA